AUAUUGUAUAGUAAAUCAGGAUUUUAUGAUGGAAUAGAUGUGUACUAAGUAUUCCUUAUUUAUUCAGUCCAGUUCAGUCUUAGGACUGUUUGUAUCGGUCCUUGUUACUAAAGAUACUCUAAGGAAAGAGGUGACUCGCAUCAAUGGAGAAAAAAUAUAAUCACUUUGAAUGAAAUUGUCUGUGGAGCAUCAAAUGUAUAAAGCGUUUGGGAUAAUUUAUUUCCGAAAAUUAAUGUGCGUACAUUCCAUUGUCAGUCCCUCCUAGAAAAGGAAAUACAAUUAAUGUAUAUGGACUUCAAUGACAAUUCUUAGUGCAAGACCAUCGGACCAAUUAAAAGAUCAUUUAAAAAUAUAAAAAAAUCUACUUACGCUAUGAUCAUCUUUGGACUUCAGUUAUUGCCAGAGAUUGUAUUUUUUUGUUGAUACAUAUUAUAGUUACAUUAUCCUUGCCCUCUACAAAUAUCUCGUAUCAUUUUUUGAUCGAGGGCGUGUGAAUGUGUGAAGGUACAUCUUUAGAGAUGUGAAAAUUGUCAAAAUCCUCGUGAGCAUAGGUUUAAAAAAAAAGUUUAAUUCAGCAACCCGCAGGAUAUUACAACUCUUAUUAAUUAUUUUUCCAACUUUCAAACAUUCAAAGAUAAGUAUAGUUUUUAUAGUAACCUCUGUCAGCAUAUAUGUCUUCUAUCAAAGUUAUUUUUUGUAUUUACA
rnacentral:lncRNA from 1 species